rnacentral:rRNA from 1 species
UUGGAGGGCAAGUCUGGUGCCAGCAGCCGCGGUAAUUCCAGCUCCAAUAGCGUAUAUUAAAGUUGUUGCAGUUAAAAAGCUCGUAGUUGAAUUUCGGGAUCAAUAUAUCGGUCGUGCCAUCGGUACGUACUGGUAUGAUUGGUUUCUCCUUUCUGACGAACCAUGAUGUCAUUAAUUUGGUGUUAUGGGAAGUUAGGACUGUUACUUUGAAAAAAUUAGAGUGUUUAAGGCAGGCUUUAGCUUGAAUACAUUAGCAUGGAAUAAUGAAAUAGGACGUUCGAACCUAUUUUGUUGGUUUCUAGGAUCAACGUAAUGAUUGAUAGGGAUAGUUGGGGGCAUUAGUAUUCAAUUGUCAGAGGUGAAAUUCUUGGAUUUAUUGAAGACUAACUACUGCGAAAGCAUUUGCCAAGGAUGUUUUCAUUAAUCAAGAACGAAAGUUAGGGGAUCGAAGACGAUCAGAUACCGUCGUAGUCUUAACCAUAAACUAUGCCGACUAGGGAUCGGAUGAUGUUAAUUUUUUAAUGACUCAUUCGGCGCCUUACGGGAAAC